GACAGCGGCUCCGGGGGCUCCGCAGGGGCGGCGGCGGCGGGGGCCGGGAGGGCUCAGGGCCAGUGCUGGGGGGUUACUUGCGGGGUCCCGGGUGGGGGCGGGAGGUGUGUGCGGAGGGCGGGGGCCGAGCCACGGGGCGGGGGUCUGGGGGGCUGUGACGGGGUUGGGGGGGGGAGUCCUAGGCCUCGGUGCGGGGGGAGUGGCUGAGCGGCAAGGGCGGGCAUCCGCGGACCACCGGGGCGGGUGCGGCGGAGGAAGGGGUCCCGGAGCUGGGGUGGGGGCCGCGUCGGGGCACGAAGACCAAGGUAGGGCGAGAAGGGGAAAGAAAAACAAUUAAUUUCCGGAGGUGGCGGCUUCUCCCCCCCACUCCACCGACCCCCAGCUUCGGGCCUGGAGGAGAUGGCGGGGACCCCCCCCCGCCCCAGGCCUGGGGGUCGGACCACGGGGACCUCCAGACCGGGGAGGGCCCGGGGCCCUUCCCACCGCCUCGGCGAGAGGCCCUCCGAAUUAACCCUUUCGACCGCGCCCUGGCGUGUUCGGCGCGGCUCCCCCACGCCAGCCUAGUUUGGGGAGUUUGCUCCGGACUUCCCCCCAAGGACCCCUGGCCGGUCCGGAUCCAACGCCUGUCGCCCCCUCCCCGUCACCUUAGCGACGGCGGGAUGGGGGCGCGACCUACGGGGAAGGGCCUAGGGGAGGGGGCGCUACUAGUCUCCACCUGCGACUGGGAAGUGAAUUUUAGUUUUACGCGUUGUCGUGGCAACGCGGGAGGGGGUGAUGAGUGGGCGGAGGAGGGGGGAGCUCAGUAAAGAAACGAGCUCAGGCACCGCCGCCCCAUCGGGGUGCACCAGGCCCCCCAGCCCUGAGCGGCCUCUCGGAACUGUCCUGCACUGCGAGCCCCUGUGCCCCCAAGAGCAGCCCCUAAGUCGAAAUAGUUCCGCCUCCUGCAGAACUCUCCCAACCCGCUUUGCCUGGCGUUCCCCACCCCCCUCCUCCGCCCCCAAGCAGCCCCAGAUCCUCCUAGAGGAGCCGCUGGCCCCCUGAGGGCAGAGCUUGAGAACGUUCACAGAAGAGCCCAGCCUGGGGAACCCCUCUGCCUAAGGAGGAAAACAGCCUCUAACCCCC
rnacentral:lncRNA from 10 species